UACGUAGGGUGCAAGCGUUGUCCGGAAUUAUUGGGCGUAAAGAGCUCGUAGGCGGUCUGUCGCGUCUGCUGUGAAAACUCAGGGCUUAACCCUGAGCUUGCAGUGGGUACGGGCAGACUAGAGUGCGGUAGGGGAGACUGGAAUUCCUGGUGUAGCGGUGAAAGUGCGCAGAUAUCAGGAGGAACACCGGUGGCGAAGGCGGGUCUCUGGGCCGUAACUGACGCUGAGGAGCGAAAGCGUGGGGAGCGAACAGGAUUAGAACCGUAC
rnacentral:rRNA from 1 species